GGCUUGAUUUAUAUUUAAAAUCUCGAACAAGUCUUCCACUAAAUUUUAAUCCUUGCAUUGGAUUUACUGCAAAAAAUUCAAAUCCCUCGAAAUACCAAAACGUUUAAACAUUCGUUAAUUUCCAAAGUUAAUCACAGCCACAAAUAUAAUCAUCGCUUCUCUAAAAUUUAAAGAAUUCCUGGAAAGCAACGUUUUAUAUCCCGACGUAUUUUUUGGAAAAAGUCCUUCACCAAAAAAUAAUUUGACAUACAAAUAUGCAAUGAAUCUAUGUCCUUCUGCAUUUAGAACAUAUGCUUCUUAUCUAUUUUCUGCUUAUCCCUUGGAUAUGAGUCAAUAUGAUAAAUUAUUUUCCACCAAUCGGAUUCCAGGAAUUGGUAUUGAUAGUCUUGUCACAUGUAAAGACUCGUCGGAAAUUUUGGUCGUGUAUAAUGGCCACUUUUAUUCCUUGAAAGUAUUAGAUAAAUCCACAAAUGGUGAUUGGGAAUAUUAUUUUUAGAGCCUUAUUCCGAAUAUAACAUUUUCAAUGCAUUAAAAAUGAUUUAUAACGAUCCAAAAGCACAAAUAAUAAACUAUCACUCACCUGGAUAUUUCACAACUCUACCAAGAGAUGAGUGGGCUUUGGC